rnacentral:rRNA from 1 species
UUAAGCGACUAAGCGUACACGGUGGAUGCCCUGGCAGUCAGAGGCGAUGAAGGACGUGCUAAUCUGCGAAAAGCGUCGGUAAGGUGAUAUGAACCGUUAUAGCCGGCGAUGUCCGAAUGGGGAAACCCAGUGCAAUUCGUUGCACUAUCGUUAACUGAAUACAUAGGUUAACGAGGCGAACCGGGGGAACUGAAACAUCUAAGUACCCCGAGGAAAAGAAAUCAACCGAGAUUCCCCCAGUAGCGGCGAGCGAACGGGGAGCAGCCCAGAGUCUGAAUCAGCUUGUGUGUUAGUGGAACGGUCUGGAAAGUCCGACGGUACAGGGUGAUAGUCCCGUACACCAAAAUGCACAGGCUGUGAACUCGAAGAGUAGGGCGGGACACGUGGUAUCCUGUCUGAAUAUGGGGGGACCAUCCUCCAAGGCUAAAUACUCCUGACUGACCGAUAGUGAACCAGUACCGUGAGGGAAAGGCGAAAAGAACCCCGGCGAGGGGAGUGAAAAAGAACCUGAAACCGUGUACGUACAAGCAGUGGGAGCACCUUCGGGUGUGACUGCGUACCUUUUGUAUAAUGGGUCAGCGACUUAUAUUCUGUAGCAAGGUUAACCGUAUAGGGGAGCCGCAGGGAAACCGAGUCUUAACUGGGCGUUAAGUUGCAGGGUAUAGACCCGAAACCCGGUGAUCUAGCCAUGGGCAGGUUGAAGGUUGGGUAACACUAACUGGAGGACCGAACCGACUAAUGUUGAAAAAUUAGCGGAUGACUUGUGGCUGGGGGUGAAAGGCCAAUCAAACCGGGAGAUAGCUGGUUCUCCCCGAAAGCUAUUUAGGUAGCGCCUCGUGAAUUCAUCUUCGGGGGUAGAGCACUGUUUCGGCUAGGGGGUCAUCCCGACUUACCAACCCGAUGCAAACUACGAAUACCGAAGAAUGUUAUCACGGGAGACACACGGCGGGUGCUAACGUCCGUCGUGAAGAGGGAAACAACCCAGACCGCCAGCUAAGGUCCCAAAGUCAUGGUUAAGUGGGAAACGAUGUGGGAAGGCACAGACAGCCAGGAUGUUGGCUUAGAAGCAGCCAUCAUUUAAAGAAAGCGUAAUAGCUCACUGGUCGAGUCGGCCUGCGCGGAAGAUGUAACGGGGCUAAACCAUGCACCGAAGCUGCGGCAGCGACACUAUGUGUUGUUGGGUAGGGGAGCGUUCUGUAAGCCUGCGAAGGUGUGCUGUGAGGCAUGCUGGAGGUAUCAGAAGUGCGAAUGCUGACAUAAGUAACGAUAAAGCGGGUGAAAAGCCCGCUCGCCGGAAGACCAAGGGUUCCUGUCCAACGUUAAUCGGGGCAGGGUGAGUCGACCCCUAAGGCGAGGCCGAAAGGCGUAGUCGAUGGGAAACAGGUUAAUAUUCCUGUACUUGGUGUUACUGCGAAGGGGGGACGGAGAAGGCUAUGUUAGCCGGGCGACGGUUGUCCCGGUUUAAGCAUGUAGGCUGGUUGUCCAGGCAAAUCCGGAUAAUCAAGGCUGAGGUGUGAUGACGAGGCACUACGGUGCUGAAGUAACAAAUGCCCUGCUUCCAGGAAAAGCCUCUAAGCAUCAGGUAACAUUAAAUCGUACCCCAAACCGACACAGGUGGUCAGGUAGAGAAUACCAAGGCGCUUGAGAGAACUCGGGUGAAGGAACUAGGCAAAAUGGUGCCGUAACUUCGGGAGAAGGCACGCUGGUGUGUAGGUGAAGUCCCUGCGGAUGGAGCUGAGACCAGUCGAAGAUACCAGCUGGCUGCAACUGUUUAUUAAAAACACAGCACUGUGCAAACACGAAAGUGGACGUAUACGGUGUGACGCCUGCCCGGUGCCGGAAGGUUAAUUGAUGGGGUUAUCCGUAAGGAGAAGCUCUUGAUCGAAGCCCCGGUAAACGGCGGCCGUAACUAUAACGGUCCUAAGGUAGCGAAAUUCCUUGUCGGGUAAGUUCCGACCUGCACGAAUGGCGUAAUGAUGGCCAGGCUGUCUCCACCCGAGACUCAGUGAAAUUGAACUCGCUGUGAAGAUGCAGUGUACCCGCGGCAAGACGGAAAGACCCCGUGAACCUUUACUAUAGCUUGACACUGAACAUUGAGCCUUGAUGUGUAGGAUAGGUGGGAGGCUUUGAAGCGUGGACGCCAGUCUGCGUGGAGCCAACCUUGAAAUACCACCCUUUAAUGUUUGAUGUUCUAACGUUGGCCCCUUACCGGGGUUGCGGACAGUGUCUGGUGGGUAGUUUGACUGGGGCGGUCUCCUCCCAAAGCGUAACGGAGGAGCACGAAGGUUAGCUAAUCCUGGUCGGACAUCAGGAGGUUAGUGCAAUGGCAUAAGCUAGCUUGACUGCGAGCGUGACGGCGCGAGCAGGUGCGAAAGCAGGUCAUAGUGAUCCGGUGGUUCUGAAUGGAAGGGCCAUCGCUCAACGGAUAAAAGGUACUCCGGGGAUAACAGGCUGAUACCGCCCAAGAGUUCAUAUCGACGGCGGUGUUUGGCACCUCGAUGUCGGCUCAUCACAUCCUGGGGCUGAAGUAGGUCCCAAGGGUAUGGCUGUUCGCCAUUUAAAGUGGUACGCGAGCUGGGUUUAGAACGUCGUGAGACAGUUCGGUCCCUAUCUGCCGUGGGCGCUGGAGAAUUGAGGGGGGCUGCUCCUAGUACGAGAGGACCGGAGUGGACGCAUCACUGGUGUUCGGGUUGUCAUGCCAAUGGCACUGCCCGGUAGCUAAAUGCGGAAGAGAUAAGUGCUGAAAGCAUCUAAGCACGAAACUUGCCCCGAGAUGAGUUCUCCCUGAGACUUUAAGUCUCCUGAAGGAACGUUGAAGACGACGACGUUGAUAGGCCGGGUGUGUAAGCGCAGCGAUGCGUUGAGCUAACCGGUACUAAUGAACCGUGAGGCUUAACCUU